GAGGGAAGAGGGAUGCUGCAUUUUAGUGAUAGCACAGACUGAGGCUGCAGGAACAGACGGGGACGGAGAGAAUCAAUGAGAAAGGUAGAAAUUAAGAGAGAGGAGAGGAGCAUUGUCUAAGAGAGCAUGACAGGAUUCCCACACAGACUGUGAUAAACGUGUACCUGAAGAAGCAGCAGAAGGGGGGGGGGAAGGCAGCACUAUACAUCACUGUCCACAGUAAGUGAAAAGACACCUCUAUUUCAGAAGAGGGGAGAGGAAACCACCUGUAAUCAUGCUGUCCUUCCAUCGGUCUCAACAAGAUGCAGCUGUCUCAUUUCGUUGCCUUGGACAAAAGAGAAAUGCUGAAUGGAUCCUUAUGUGCUGUUAGAGACAGGAGUAAAAAAAAAAAAACUAGCAAGCUUCUGGGAGGAAAAGGGAGGAGAGAGCAGUAUGAGUCAGAGCACAGCAGCUAGAAUAGUGUGUAUUUGGCAUGCAAGAGGAGAGGUACAGGGAGAUAGAGGAACAAUGAGAGAGAUAUAGGGGGGAAUACAGAGGACUUUACCAGAAUUGAGCAGUCAUUAGACAGAAGAAGGACAGGAGGAAACAGAAGCAGCCACAUUGGCAGGAGGAUGUGGGAUAUAGGCCAAGUGAAUCAGCUUGCUAGAGGGAGACAAAGGCAAGUUUACAGAGUGAAGGUUUCAUAUGACUGAAGAGGGUUUGAGGGAAGGUUAUUUGAAGGUUUGCUGCAGGGUGGAGAGUAGACAGAAACAGUGAAGGACAGAAGGACAGGCCUAAUAAAAAACUAUGUGAGCAGCUACAAGGAAUAAGGUCCUGAGUGAGGGGACAUUACUGAGGUUUGUAUAUGGCAGCACAAGCUUCAAGAAGGUUGACAAAUUGAUAGAGAGAAGAGAGGAACAAAAAAAGGGUAGAACACAGAGAUGACGCGGCAUGGGAACUUUAACUCUGAUAGCCCACAGCAAGAGUUUCCCGUUAAAUAUUGAUGCUGACACCCCACUCUGGAAAUAACUCGCUUCUUGCACCAUGGAGGGGGAAACAGAAGGAAAAAACACUGGCUUUUUUUAAUUCUAAGGGAUUUUUUCACCGGAAUAGACAAGCUGUUAAGUGUGUCAGAUGACAGCCGAGUUGGGUUAAGUUCAAAUGUUGCUACAAAUUAAGACAAGACAUACACAUCUUGGGCCAGCUGUGCAAGUUCUCUGGGAGAGUGGAAUUACUACAGAGAGAGGAACUGGACCUUCAUCUUGUGUGGGAACAACAAGGAAGAAGGAAAUUAACGUUGGAGAGAUCACUAAGACUACAUCAGGACCAGAACAAUUCCUUCUUUUCUAUGAGAACAUGAACCAGUUCUGGCUGAUGAAUACAGAUCGGUUUUGGAUUGACAAGUUGUACCUGCUUUGACAGUCACUCUGGGGCUACAUCACUGCCAGAUGAGAGAAGCCACACACUGCUGAAGCAUUCACAAAUCUUUCCUAUUUUUACUUUGUCCUAGACUGAUUGGAACUGUUCCAACUGUCUCUGAAAAUGACCUCAUUACAGAGAUUUGGCCAGUGGAGGAUUGCUGUCAUGGCUUGAGGAAAUGUAAGUGUGGAAAUGAUUUAAUGUGCAACAACACACAUCAUCCUUAAUUGGAAGCAGAGUGUAUACUUCAUUUUUGUCUCCAUGACUCCAUAAGGACAAUUCUGCAACUUAUUUUAACCAGGGAGUUAAAAUAGAGACUUUCUUCGUUACGACCAAAAUCACAGAUUCCUCAAAACAGUAACGCAGGAGGACACAACAACACAGUCUCCAUACAGCUGCGGAGAUACCAGCUGCAUUUUUAUGUGUGUGUGUGUGUGUGUGUGGUGGGCUAUAAGGACUGUCGAAAAGCUCAGCUGUGUUUGUGUGUAUGCUUGUGUGGGUGUGGAGGUGUAUGUGAGCCGAGCUGUGUCUAAGUGUAUUUUCAAAGCAUCCCCCGGAGCUGUGUGAGUGUGUAUUUUGUGUGUGUGUGUGUGUGCGUGUUGCCUGGAUUCUCCCCACCAGCGACAGAGCUGGACCUGAACAGCAGUGGUGAGAGGGGGGACAGGGAGGGGGAGGAGGAGGAGAAGAGAGAGGUGAAAGAAACGAACAGGGCGGAGGAGAAGAAAAAACUGACAACAUGCUCGGAUAAAGAAAAGAAAGAAGGGAGUUUUUGGCUGCCCCCCUGGUGCAAUGUGUGGCGUGGCGCCCUGUGGGGGUGGGGUUCUGUGAUGGUAACCAUGGUCCCCGGCAGCCGCUAUGUCUGCAGCGCUCACGCUAGAGAGGAAGACGCGACGAAUGACCGCGAGGAACGAAUUUUAGCUGUGCUGGGCAUAAUCGGAACCAUCCUCAAUCUUUUAGUGGUCAUAUUUGUCUACAUCUACACCUCCGUCACCUAAUGUUUUCUGCAAGAAUUUGAAUGAGGGACGUUGACACCGUCCUUAACCUUUCUCCGAACUGCCACCCUCCUCCUCUUUAAGUAUUUAUAUACCUAAGAGGGUUUGAGUAUUCAGAUUGAGCGGUAAGAUGUGAAGAUCCUUGGCAGUGUGUUCAACUGGAAAGUAGCCAUAUUUAUCUACACCUGCAUCACUGCUUAUCCCUCAAGACAACUUUGCUCUGUUCGCUAAAAAGUACUGCCAAUCACAAGGAAGAAGUUGCAGGUGGAAUCAUCUGCACUUUCCUCCAAUUAAUGAAACUGCAUCUUCAAGAAAAUUUCACACAACCACACAUGUCACUUGACAGUAUAUCCAGUCUAGUAAUGGGCAAUUGUAUUCAUAUGACUGGGUCAAAGCCUUUCUGUGACUGCUCAGACAAGUGCCAUUGAUGUAAUGGUGGACCUAUUUGACUGUGUUGCAUCUUCAUCUUUGUCAUAUGACAUGUAACGUGUGUCUUUCAACAAUCAAACUCCUUUGUGACAUUUGAGAUAUCACUGCCAGUUCAUUUUAUCUAAAUGGUUUGACAACAAAGGCACCUUUGAGUUAACUUGACCAAACUAGUGGAUAGGGAAAGAUGUGGCACGCCAUUAAAACUGUUAAAAGGGACCAACAUUUCCAGGUGAAUUAUUAACAGAGGAACCCAUAGGCCUAUCUACUUCUGAGCACCCUUAAAUCUACUUGAAUAGAACAUGUAUACAAAUAUACAUAUUAGUACUCACACCCAUUGCUAAAUACUGGUUUUUGUAGUUAGUAGAGGGACUGAAAAACAUUUACAUGGACCUAACGUGUCCACACCUGAGCACACCAGAGGAGAGAUUCCUGGCAGUGCUGGGAGUCAUCGGCAUCAUACUUAACCUUCUGCUGCUCGUCUUUGUCUAUAUAUACACCUCCAUCUGAUAUAUUUGCCUGCACACAGUAUAUCAGCAAUUAGAUAACCCUGCCACACCUAACAGCACCUGUACCUUAGACUGUUCUUCAACCACACCUGUAUAUAUUGUACCUAAGUACAACCUAGUACAAAGCCAAUUUGGGGAUUAUUUGAUAUUCUAGGCAGCUUUACGUGCCUAUUAAUGUAGUGAUUCUCCAACAAUAGUGGCAACAUGCACAGAAGGUGAUGAGAGAAUUGAGAGGCCAAAGCAGUGCCACUAACUGCCACAAACUAAUUUAUAAUAAAUAAAUACACUUUAAGAAUUUGCAUUUUACAGUUGGUGUUUUUGUAGAUACAGUGCUAUUUUCACAUAUGUGCAUGAUGAGAUGUUUACUAAAGCUUGUAUUAUUAUUAUCUUCAUCAUGAUUUGACCAAAAUAUCUGACAUAAAGACUGCCAUUUCUUACAGUAUAUAUGUUUGUUAUACACGUUUAUUGAUGGUGAAAACACUCAUGGAACUGAAUGGUGUUGAUGUUUCAGUCUGUGCAGCGGCUCUGCACACCAUCAAAAAUCUCUCCGUGGAAGGUCGGUACAGUGGGAUAAUGGUCUAUUUUCUGAUGCCGUGUUUCUGUGAUUGGAUCUGUAAGCCACGUGCAACACAGCAUUGGAGAGGGAAAAGCGUGGAACUGAGACAAUGUUGCACAAAUCAAGACAGUGGCCUGUUGCAGUGGAACACAAAGGACUGCAACAAUAAAGAAAGAGUCAGGUUGAACCAGUGUGGAUUGUCUAAAAAAAGACCAUACAAAACCUCUGUACAAGGCUUCAUCAUCUGUCUCAAAACUCAUAAAAGCACAAAAACCUCCCUGGGAUUCGGUUACAACAUUUCCUCUAAAACUACGUGCCACUCUGGAUAUGAUUUUAUGUCUAAGCACUGUGCCACUGAUGGAGGAGCAAAUCUGAAGUCAGCUGAAACGCGAGCAGAGAGGACUGGCUUAAAUCUUCACUUCAUCCUUGUUAUUCUCUUUUCCACCAACAAGCUAACGCCAGAGAAGACAUAAGACCCGCAUGCGUCUCUGCUGUCUUUUCCCACAGCACAGAAUCAUGGACAUAUACACAUGCACAGACUUUCAUUCACCAUUGGUCAGACGAUCUGAGGGUGAAGACAAAUCCCCAGACCAAAGGACAGUACAGAAACAGUACAACCAGCAACUUCAACUCACUUUACAACUUCCCAAGUUGGCUUGUAAGAAUAAGUACUGAGAUUUUGAUAAUCAUAUAAGAUUCCUUCUUACAUAGUGUAUGUAUGCUCUUAGUGUAUUAGCAUCUGUUUAUCAUUGCAAAGGUUUAAAAGCAAAAGCCAAAAGCAACAAUGUUUGGUAUGAAACUCAACAAAUAUCUAUGGUUCUGGUGGUUACAUUCUAUUUUUUAUGAAGUGUACAAUAGUACAGAUAAGUAUUUCCAUGGCCAUGGCUACAGAACAAGGAACUCCAACUUUCCUGCAUGAAUAAUUACCUUUCACUUAAAUAUAUUAGUUGUUUUGUUGAGUUUUAAAACAGCAAAGAGGACAACUCAAAAGGGUACACAUAUUAAUUACCUGUAUAAGGACUCUCUUUCUCACCAUCUCACACACUUUCUACACUUUCUACAGUACUUCUUUACUUGAGGACCUAUGUUGACAAAUUGCAUUUGCCCCUAUCCUUACCCUUAACACAACAUACUUCAUCCCAAAACUGUACAGUAUGUAACGUUAACAUGAAUCUAAUUCUGGAAAUCCUAAAAAGAAACAAGAACAAAUAAAAAACAAUUACCACAAUUUAGAUUUAAUUUUCUUCAUCAAUUCUAUUGAUUAUGUUAACAUUGUACUCACCAAAGUAAUUGCUGAGAUCUGGGGACAUUACAAAAAAUAGAUAUCCAAUAAAGCAAAAUACACAAGGUUAGUCAAACUCAUUCAGAAGAGACAAUGAAGGUAAACUUUCAACAAUAUACCCAGGCUGUCUGUUUAGCUGACAAUUUCCUGGUUCAACUUUGACCUACCAUAUUUGCUGUAGUUGUGCACAUUCAAGAUUUUCCUAUGCAGUGAGAGAUUAUUAGCAACAUUACGGGUUUACUCACUUUUCAAAUUAAAAAAAUCUGGAAAAAAACCUUGGCUUGUUUACAAUCUGUAUGAUUAUCUGACCGCAAAUGUUUGCUGCCCCUUGAACUUAGUUUUAGCUUUGCCACAUUCUGAGAUCUCAACAAUAAGUUCAGAGUACUUAAAACUACAAACAUAAAACCCAAAUUCUAACAAACCAUUAUUUUUAGUCAACCUCAAAACGUUUAACCUUAAACAUGUGAAGUGAGAAACAGUCAAAAUAUUCCAAAACAUUCAAACUCUCAAUACCUAGACUCAAACUGGUCCUCUCGUCAUGAGUUUAAUUUUACACCAUCUUUCAGCACACAUCAGGAGAGCCGCCUGUUACCACGCUGAGAUCAGUGUGACUUGCACAUUUAUUCCCUGUCACAUCCAAUAAAUGUACAGAGGAGUUUGUUGAGCUAAAUCCAUUUUGGGAGUGCACCAAAGCCACCUUUAGUUUGUCAGACAUAUGCUGCUAGACUGUAACAGUCAAAGACACAGCUGUGCAGAAGGUUUGGGUUGCCUUUUGGCAAGUGUUUAUUCACUUUUUAAUAAGGCACACUUUAACAAAUGACUUAGUAAGUAUUAUGUAAUGUCUUCAUUUAAGUUUAGUGAAUCCUUUACUAUCAUUUACUACUGUAAUAUGUCUUACUAUAAAAUGAGAGUCCCAACAACAUUUAUUUAAUGAUUACUAACAUUACCAACUAUUUUAAUAACAAAUAGAAAGAAUAAACACCAGCUAACAUUUCUUCUGAAAGUGUUUCAAUUCAUCACUAAAGCAACAGUAAAUUAUUUAUCAACCGUUACUAACAAAAUUGGUGUUUGUGAUCCCUUUUACAGGGCACUAUGUACAGUGGUACCCCUUUUAAAAAGGCUGGCAGCAAAUCUUUUAAAAAAAAUGUGAAGAAUAAAGCAAAUGAAAGACAUUUAUUUUGUAAAUAUAUUUUUAAAAACUACG